rnacentral:pre_miRNA from 14 species
AUUUCUAUAAGUCACUAGUGGGUUAUAAGUCAUAACUUAUCAGUGAUUUAUGACUUAUAACUCACUAGUGACUUAUAGGC